GUCUUUGACCUCGGAUCAGGUAGGGAUACCCGCUGAACUUAAGCAUAUCAAUAAGC
rnacentral:rRNA from 1 species